ensembl:lncRNA
UUUUUUUUUUUUUUUUUUUUUUUUCCUUUUUAAGAUACAAGGUCUCACUGUGUUGCUCUGGCUGGAUUUGAACUCCUGGGCUCAAGUGACCCUCCUUCCUCAGCCUCUCAAGUAGCUGGGAUUACAGGCAUGUGCCACCAUGCCUAGCUGCCAUUGCCUUUUAAAUUCACCUAUUUUUCAAAACUAAACAUUUAGUGACUAGCUACUAUGAACCAUAACAUUUAAUUAUUAUGCUGACCUUGUGAGGAAGUUCCCCCACUUGGCCAAAGAUAACUGAGCAUUACGCAGGUUAAAAUAACUUGUCCAAAACUCCUCCACGCUCACACACUGGCUCUCCAGAGCCCAUGCUGGUCCCGACAGGCCAGCUCCCAUGGCGAUGAGGCUCUGUACCCACAGCUUUUUGGCUUGGCUGUGCCCUUCACUGGCACAGCUCUCUCAGCAGACCCAGCCUAGUCUCAUCCCCUUGGUGCAACUUCUGGGGCAGACUGGCCCAUCCACCAGGCUCUCAGAAACCUGGCACAAGGAACUGCCGAGACUGACUGACCUGUCUUUAUAGCUAGUCAAAGAACUCACUAAAGACCAGAGGCCUACCCAGCCCUCCUGCAGACACCGGCAGAGCGGCCAGAUUCUAGUUGGUGUUGUAUAAAUGUGGGAUAUGAUACACGUCUGCCUUCCGGAUAUAAUCUCGUCAAACAGAGCUCAGCAUUACUCUGCCACUUUAUAAUCCUUUAGUUAAUGAUAUGGAGCUUCAAAAUUAUAUGGCAAAUUAAAUCUAACUUGAUAUUUAAACUUUGAUUUAAAAAUACAUGAGGCAAUACAAUAAUAGUUUUUUAUUCAGCCCGAAGAGAAGGAACAUGUUAAAUAGUUUAAGGGAAGGGUUUGUAAGUGAAUCACAGAACUUCUCACUUGUUUGGGUUCUGGCGUCAUGCUUGGAAGUCCUAAGAUGGCCAGACAGGACAACAUUUCUGAACAAGGAAACCCCCUAGGCUCCCUGAGUUACCGAGUGCAGGUCCUCUGCCUCCCUUCAGUCCCUCUGUGAUCGGUGUGACUCUGAAGGCUAUGUGGCUCAAAAAAGAAGUCUGAGAAACCCCUGACAGGGUGGUGUGAGCAGUGCCACACCCAGUUUCAUGCCCAAGACUGUCCUUGGGCAGUCACAUUUAUAUUUUAACCAAGGAACUGAGUCAUGUAUUUCAAAAGCACUAAAGGUUACCUUAUUUUCCCUAAGAAAACACAAACUGGGGCAAAGGGUAAGCCCCAGACCUGUUCUCUUUUUAGAGACAUGAAGUCUUUUUAGAGAACAUCUGGGGGUAAAUGCAGCAGAGAGGAGAAAUGGGUUCAACUAAAGAUGGAGUGAAAACAAAAAGAAUGAACAGCCUCAAUUUCUAGCCCAGAGGUUUCAAAAAUAAGGAUGAAUUUGCAAUUUGCCCUGACUUCUUAGAGCUUUUUUCUGUAUUCCUGGCACCACCUUUUCAGGGCUAUUUUUAGCUACAGGAGAAUGGGGAGCAGACAGGGAAGGUCUCAGUGUGGCCCAGCCUUACCUUGUGUGCCCUGCUGGGACUCCAGCUAUCUUUAAUUAAUGUCUGAAGGACAUGAGGCCAACUCUACUAGUAGUAAAAGGAAGCACAAUGGUGAAAUUCUACCCAGCAAGACUGAUAGGCCCACUACUGGUAUACCAUUCCUGAGGUCCUGGGGCUAUUUUUUAUUGAAAAAAGGCUCCAUCUGGGACACUUAAGAGAGCAAUGAAGUAGAUUUUGUAUAUUUAAGAGUACAGAAAACAGGACUUCCUAUUUACUUAUCUAGUAAAGUAAAUACUAGAUUUACUUUACACAGCCCAAACCGACAAAUCAAUUUAACAUUAUUAUACACCUUUUCUCUAGAAUAAAGACAUUUCACUUAAAGGAACUCCCUCUAGCCAUCUUUAUUUAGUCCAAAUUCCUAAACAAGGAUGAAACCAGUAUUUCUCAUCAUCUUUUACAGUCUUUCCUUUUUGCAAUAACCCCAAGAGGUAAACCUAAAGCUUUUAAACCUCAACUUGCUGCCCCUAGAUUUAGCUUUAUUAAAUAUUAGAGAUCAAUCACAUCUUUGGAAACAAAACUGAAUAUGCCAAGAAAGUAAUAAUAAAAUAUAUUCCUCAGUACUACCCCAAACUCACCAACAUCAACACCAUAAAGAUAUACUGCAGACAGCCAUGAUAAAGAGGGAGAAAAUAAAAUGCUAUCACUUAAGAAAAAAAAAUCAAGACCACAAGGGUUACAUUUCGGUGACAAACAUGGGCACACUGCCUAGUCGGGGAUCGAUGAGCUGCCUAUGAACAAAGAACUUAAAGGACUCAUGUUAGGUCAAAGCAAAACACAAAUAAAAUUUUAGUAGAUUCUGAAUUCCCAUCUAAUGUACUGCAGACUACAGCAAACUACCAUCUUUCUUCGCUCAACUCCAUUAACCUAAAUAGUUCUGUUUAUCUAAGACUCCAUUCAUUGAUGGAAAAAAAUCAAAAUUCCAGAAUUCUCUUUUGGCUGAGGGAACUGUAUCGCUUUCUUCACUUUUGCAGAAAGUGAGUACACUAAAACCAUUAUUAAAGAAUGGGUUCAGUAUUUAGUACAGUCAGGAAAAUGUCAGCCCACCACAUUUAAGAGUAUUCGAGUUUUCCACCCUCAUUUUGUAGCUGGGUUCUCACCAGGAUGGCCUCAGACAUCCAUCCCGAAACCAGUGUGUUUUCUGAAUGGGACACAAAGGCACACUGCAAGAGAUGCUCACACUACUGAAAUGUCACUCAGGCAGAGUGCCUGGGAAGUUCAGCAAAGAAGAGUCUAGCAGGACUUGCUUCCCCUUCCCAGUUUUUAUUAAUUAAGCCUACAUGGGAAGGAGGAGGUGCCAUGAGAUGACCAGGCAAAAAUCAAGCUAUCAGGAAAGUACAUUAAAAGAUAAUAAUUUGCUGGAGAAGCUUACGAUGGGGUUGAUAGUUAAACUGCAGCCAGCAGUUUAACACAGCAUUGCCCAAUAGAACUUUCAGCACUGAUGGAAAAGUUCUAUCAUCUCUGUUGACCAAUAUUCAGUUCCUUAGUCACAUUAGCCAUAUUUCAAGUGUGUAACAGUUGGAGUGGGGGAGGUGAUGGAAUUGAGGUGCUCUUUACAAUCACAAGUCCUGAAUACGCUCAAAAAGCUUUUAUCCUGGCUUAUGAUAUUUGUCUCAUCUAUACUCCUAAAAAUGGCCUACACUAGCAUCCUUGAUAAACACUGGCUAUAAGCAAAUGCUUUUAGCCUUAUGUGCUGCACACUGUCACUUUAAAUGGUAGUACUUUCUAAAGAUGUGUCAUCUAGGGACACAGGCUCACUGUACAUUACACACCAAGAUUACAGCAGAAACAAACUAUACUGAAUAUCAACUGCUGUUCUUUUCAAAGUUCCUAGAGAUUAUGUUUAGUGCUCUUGAAUCUGUUUAAGCCACAUAAAAUGAUACUGGUUUUAAUGAAGGAAGUUUUUCAAAUCCCAAGUGACAGGAGACAAAUCCAGUUCUAUAAUUAAAAAAAGAUAAACUAGGCUGGGCAUGGUGGUUCACGCUUGUAAUCCCAGCACUUUGGGAGGCUGAGCUGGGAGGACUGCUUGAGCCCAAGAGUUAGAGACAAGCCUGGGCAACAUAGCAAGACACUUGUCUCUACAAAAUAAAUAAAUAAGUAAGUAAAUAAACUACAUAUUUUUUGUUUUUUUUGUUUUGGACACAGGGUCUUGCUCUGUUACCCAAGCUGGAGGACAAUGGUUCAAUUAUGGCUCACUGCAACCUCAAAUAAACUCCUAUCCUCAAGCAAUCCUCCAGUCUCAGCCUCCCUAGUAGCUAGGACUAUAGGUAUGAGCCACCAUGCCACGCUAACUUCCUUAUUUUUUUGUAGACAUGGGAAUCUCCCUAUGUUGCCCAGGCUGGUCUCAAACUCCUGGCGUUAAAGCAAUCCUCCUGCCUCGACCUCCCAAAAUGCUGGGAUUACAGGCGUGAUCCUGGCCAUAACCAGAUGGUUUAAUAGAUCAAGUAGACCAUUGCUAUAAACUCAAAAUAGAUAUUAGAACACACAUCAUACUUUUUCUAAUACAUAAUUUCAAAAGCAGGCCACUUGACAAAGGCUUGAGUGCAUGGUGUGAUUGACAGUGAAUGAACUGAUGCCAACCUAAAGUAGACAGACACCGGCGGCCCAGCACACAUGUCCAAGUGUCUGUACUUGGUUCCAUCCUUUCAACUAUUUACUGGUAAUUUGCACAAACUCACAGAAAUGUGUAAAAGGGCAGCCAGCAUAGGUCCAGAAUGAUGUAACACAAUGGAAUUUAAACGCUAAGUCCUUCCAUUAAGGCUCACAAAGGGAGUUCCACCAACAUCAGUCAAAAAAGUCAAAGAUUCAUAAUAAUUUACAUUUUUUAAAAAAGGCAUAGGGAAUGUAAAUACAGGUUUAAUAUAGGCCAACAGCAAUGUGAUUGCACAAAAAGCGAAUUCAAUAUUAGACUGCAUUUACAAAUUGCAAAUUGCCAAGAAAGUUACCGCUCUCUACUAAAAUUAGUACUGAUGUCCAGGGUACUCCCUUUCAGCAGCAGCAACAAGACUGAAAGCGUUUGAUCAUUCUCCCAGCAAGCCCC